rnacentral:lncRNA from 1 species
UCGCCGCCUUCGACCCGCACCAACUGGGCAAGUACCGGGGCCGGCCCGGCAAGCGCGCCCGGGGACGGGGACGGAGCCGACCCCAAACCCAAUCCCAAUCCCAAACCCAGCGGCCCCAGAGACCCCGACGGGGGACGGCGGAGAAGGUGAGGGGACAACGGGGUCAGCGGGGUCCUUUUGGGGUCAGCGGGGUCCUUUUGGGGUCAUUCGGGUCCCUGUAGGGUCAUUGGGGUCCCUUGGGGUCAUUGGGGUCCCUUUAGGGUCGUUGGAGGUAUUUGGGGUCGUUGGGGUCCCUUUGGGGUCGUUGGGAACAUUUGGGGUCAUUGGGGUCCUUUUGGGGUUGUUGGGGUCCUUUUGGGGUCGUUGGGGACAUUUGGGGUCAUCGGGGUCCCUUGGGGUCACUGGGGUCCCUUUGGGGUUAUUGGGGUCCCUUUGGGGUCCUGUGACCCUUUUGGGGUCCCUUUUAGGGUCCUGGUGUCCUUUUGGGUUCUUGGGGUCCCUUUUGGGGUCCUGUGUCCAUUUUGGGAUUCCUGGGUCCUAUUGGGUUCCUGGGGUCUCUUUUGGGGUUCCAGGACCCUUUUGGGGUCCCGGGGUCCCUUUGGGGUCCCGUGACCCUUUUGGGGUCCCUUUUAGGGUC